CAAGAGCGUAUGUAAAAGUUGUUGCAGUUAAAAAGCUCGUAGUUGAACCUUGGGUUUGGUUGGCCGGUCCGCUUUUUUGCGAGUACUGGAUUCAACCGAGCCUUUCCUUCUGGCUAACCAGUCGUUUCGGCGGCUGGCGAACCAGGAUUUUUACUUUGAGAAAAUUAGAGUGUUCAAAGCAGGCAUUAGCUUGAAUAUAUUAGCAUGGAAUGAUAGAAUAGGACGUUAUGGUUCUAUUUUGUUGGUUUCUAGGACCAUCGUAAUGAUUAAUAGGGACGGUCGGGGGCAUCAGUAUUCAGUUGUCAGAGGUGAAAUUCUUGGAUUUACUGAAGACUAACUACUGCGAAAGCAUUUGCCAAGGACGUUUUCAUUAA
rnacentral:rRNA from 1 species